AGCUUUGCGCAGUGGCAGUAUCGUAGCCAAUGAGGUUUAUCCGAGGCGCAAUUAUUGCUAAUUGAACGUAGGUGGAUAUGUGGCGAUGCAUGUUUACCAAGCCCCGUUGGGUCCCACGUGCCCACCCAUGAUGGGACCCAGUGAAUUAGAGCUGUUGGCUGACA
rnacentral:snRNA from 1 species